GAUGAACGCUGGCGGCGUGCCUAAUACAUGCAAGUCGAGCGAACGGACGAGAAGCUUGCUUCUCUGAUGUUAGCGGCGGACGGGUGAGUAACACGUGGAUAACCUACCUAUAAGACUGGGAUAACUUCGGGAAACCGGAGCUAAUACCGGAUAAUAUUUUGAACCGCAUGGUUCAAAAGUGAAAGACGGUCUUGCUGUCACUUAUAGAUGGAUCCGCGCUGCAUUAGCUAGUUGGUAAGGUAACGGCUUACCAAGGCAACGAUGCAUAGCCGACCUGAGAGGGUGAUCCGGCCAACCGGAAACUGAGAAACGUUCCGAAUCCCAACGGAGGCAGCAGUAGGGAAUCUUCCGCAAUGGGCGAAAGCCUGACGGAGCAACGCCGCGUGAGUGAUGAAGGUCUUCGGAUCGUAAAACUCUGUUAUUAGGGAAGAACAUAUGUGUAAGUAACUGUGCACAUCUUGACGGUACCUAAUCAGAAAGCCACGGCUAACUACGUG
rnacentral:rRNA from 1 species